rnacentral:rRNA from 1 species
GAUGAACGCUGACAGAAUGCUUAACACAUGCAAGUCGAUGGGGAAGUGGUGCUUGCACCAUGUCAACCAUGGCGGACGGGUGAGUAACGCGUAAGGGACUUACCUGCAGGACUGGGAUAACAGGGGGAAACUCCUGACAAGACCGGAUAAUGUCAUGGAGCUGCAUGGCUUUAUGAUGAAAGGAGACGCCUGCGGAGAGCCUUGCGUCCUAUUAGCUAGUUGGUGAGGUAAUGGCUCACCAAGGCGAAGAUAGGUAGCCGGCCUGAGAGGGUGGACGGCCACAAGGGGACUGAGAUACGGCACUUACUCAUACGGGAGGCAGCAGUGGGGAAUAUUGGACAAUGGGGGCAACCCUGAUCCAGCAAUUCUGUGUGCACGAAGAAGGUUUUCGGAUUGUAAAGUGCUUUCAGCAGGGAAGAAGUAAGUGACGGUACCUGCAGAAGAAGCGACGGCUAAAUACGUG